GCUAAGCCCUAAACAUUGAUAGGCUACCACACAAUGCCUUCCGCCAGAGAACUACAAGUGAAAAACUUAAAACUCAAAGGACUUGACGGUGUCCCACACCGAUCUAGAGGAGCCCGUCCUAUAAUCGAUACCCCCCGCUCCACCCAACCUUUACUUGCCUUUCAGCCUAUAUACCGCCGUCGACAGUCUACCCUAUGAAGGUAAAACAGUAGGCACAAUAACUAAGUCGCUAGUACGUCAGGUCAAGGUGUAGCAAAUGUUAAGGAAGAGAUUGGCUACAUUUUUAAACUUUAAAAAUACGAAGUGCAUCAUGAAACCCUGCAUGAAGGUGAAUUUAGUAGUAAAAUAAAUAAGAGAGUUUAUUUUAACCUCGCUCUGGGACGCGUACACACCGCCCGUCACCCUCCUCAAUAAUAUAUACUACAUUAAAUAAACACAAUAUGUAACCCUAGAGGAGGC
rnacentral:rRNA from 1 species